GCCUCUGUGGCUCAGUUGGUUAGAGCGCUGCACCGGAAUCGCAGGGCCGUAGGUUCAAUUCCUACCAGAGGAC
rnacentral:tRNA from 1 species